GAUGAACGCUAGCGAUAGGCUUAACACAUGCAAGUCGAGGGGCAGCAUGGUCUUAGCUUGCUAAGACUGAUGGCGACCGGCGCACGGGUGCGUAACGCGUAUGCAACUUGCCUCACAGAGGGGGAUAACCCGUCGAAAGACGGACUAAUACCGCGUACACUUGGGAUAGGGCAUCCUGACCCAAGGAAAUGAAAUUCGCUGUGAGAUAGGCAUGCGUCCCAUUAGCUAGUUGGUGAGGUAACGGCUCACCAAGGCGACGAUGGGUAGGGGAACUGAGAGGUUGAACCCCCACACUGGUACUGAGACACGGGCCAGACUCCUACGGGAGGCAGCAGUGAGGAAUAUUGGUCAAUGGGCGAGAGCCUGAACCAGCCAAGUCGCGUGAAGGAUGACUGUCUUAUGGAUUGUAAACUUCUUUUAUACGGGAAUAACAAGAGCCACGUGUGGCUCCCUGCAUGUACCGUAUGAAUAAGCAUCGGCUAACUCCGUG
rnacentral:rRNA from 1 species